rnacentral:RNase_P_RNA from 1 species
GCUGCGGGCUGCUCUAUCGCGGCCAUGGCCAUAAUGGCAUGGAUGAGGAAAGUCCGGACAACGUAGAGCGCCACGCCACCUAACGGGUGGGCCGUGACCAUAGGCGUCGCGGACAGAAAGUGCCACAGAAAACUAGACUUCCCGCCGGGAGGGCUCGCCCUUCUCCGCUACGGCCUUUGGUACGUAGCUUCGGUGGGUAAAGGUGAAAACGUGCGGGGCACCCGCCCUUAAUGUAAGAGCGCACGCCGGGCCAUAGCAAUACGGCCGGGGGGUAAACCUCGUGGGUUGAAAUGUCACAUACACCACGAUUCUGAUCUCUGAGGCAGAGCUUUGCUCUUUUCAGGGUCGGAUGCGGGUUGCUCGCCCGCUUGGAAACAGUCGUGGGGGGUAGGCAGAUAGACCCGGACGGCGACGUCAGGGCUAGAUAAAUGAUAGAGGCCCGGACAUGGGCGUAAGCCCAUCGUCAGGGAACAAAAUCCGGCUUACAGGCCCGCAGCAAUU